UCCUGGCUCAGCGCGAACG
rnacentral:rRNA from 1 species